rnacentral:rRNA from 1 species
GUUGAACGCUGGCGGCAGGCCUAACACAUGCAAGUCGGGCGGAUGAAGGGAGCUUGCUCCUGGAUUCAGCGGCGGACGGGUGCGUAAUGCCUAGGAAUCUGCCUGGUAGUGGGGGAUAACGUCCGGAAACGGGCGCUAAUACCGCAUACGUCCUGAGGGAGAAAGUGGGGGAUCUUCGGACCUCACGCUAUCAGAUGAGCCUAGGUCGGAUUAGCUAGUUGGUGGGGUAAAGGCCUACCAAGGCGACGAUCCGUAACUGGUCUGAGAGGAUGAUCAGUCACACUGGAACUGAGACACGGUCCAGACUACUACGGGAGGCAGCAGUGGGGAAUAUUGGACAAUGGGCGAAAGCCUGAUCCAGCCAUGCCGCGUGUGUGAAGAAGGUCUUCGGAUUGUAAAGCACUUUAAGUUGGGAGGAAGGGCAGUAAGUUAAUACCUUGCUGUUUUGACGUUACCAACAGAGUAAGCACCGGCUAACUUCGUG